GAAGCUUUUAUCUUCUUUAUCUUUAGGAUGAACUAUCUUGGGGAAAAGUGAAAUUUUUAGAUGCAAGCAUGUAUGCUUAUUUUAAUAGCUCAUGCAGAAGUGAGAAAGAAUUUUUUUAAUUAAUGCAGAAGUGAGACAAUUCAAUUUUCGUAGGCACUGUAACAGUGUAUUCAUUCAUAAAAACAUACUAGAUGUAAAUCACAUUAUGCUUGUUGGUGAUUUUAGUUUGAGAAAAUCGUGCAGAGAGCAAAACAGAGAGAUUAGCCUUUAAGAGUAACAAGCCAGUAUUCAUUAAGCUCAUUCAUUCAUUCCACAAAUAUUUAUUUGUGCCUGCUGUGUGCAAGACACUGCUAGAUGCCAGAGACACGACGACGGUGAGAAAAAGCAUUCAGAGUCCUCAGUCUCCUGGAAUUUAUGAUUCAGCCAGAAUGAAUAGCAAGGACAAGUCUCAUUCACAUCCUGUCUAACUGAAUUCACGUGGGAAACCAAGGAAUAACCGAGGCUCCACUGGACAGCUGGAAGAAUCCACGCCUUGGAGUCACCCGUGUGCUGUGGUCCAGGCAAGGGAGAGAGAGCAGGCACUGUGAGCUGUCAGAAUCCACUCACUGCCGGCUUCCAAGAGGCUGUUUCGUUUGCUUAAAGCAAAUCAGUGGAAGAAAGUGCUGUCAAGCUCCAGCAGCUAGGAUGCUACCACUUGCUGUGGGUUGAGAGCGUCCGUCCAGGUUGCCAGUUAGUAAUCAGGAAUACCAGUAAAGAAUAUAACCCGUUUUAGUAAGCUUGUGCCUCCAGGGGAUGGAAGCGUCACGUGCAACUAUAGACCCACAUGUAACCCUCUCGUGUGCGGUAGUGAAAUGAGCUUUGGUCUUCAAGUUGCUUAGAACUGUGGACCCACUGUUCGCGGUGUGACCCCAAACCUUGGCUUCAUUAUCUGUACAAGUACAGAUACUGACAACCAGCUCAGACGGUUGUUCUAAGAAUUAAGUAUGUGACACCAUUGUGACACUUCUGUGUGCCAGGCUGUUUUCCAAGGACUUUGCGAUGUUGUCGAAUCUUCAUCAUUCAAGAAGGCGGUACUCUUGGUAUCCCCAUUCUUGAAAUAAGGAAAUCAAGGCACAGAGAGAUGAAGUAGCUCACCCAAGGUCACAGGAUUUGAAUGAUGGCCGCAGGCGGCAGGGUCCAUGCCUUUGUCCCCCCCAGGCACUACUGUCUCUUAUUAAUAAUGAUUGUUACCAAUUUUAGCUCGUAGUUAUUAAACACUUUCCUUGUGCCAGAAGCCUCAUGUAUGUUAACUACUCUAAUCCUCUCAGCCACCCUAGAAGGUGGGUACUUUCCCCAUCUUAACAAAUGAAGAAAAAAUGUUUCCUCUGUGCCCCACUCUGUCAGUAACACAGGAAAACAAAUUGCUGGUGAGACCAUCAUGUAUUAAAGCACUAAACGGUGGGUCCCGCUGUAACUGCCACAGUGAUUCAGAGAGAAGAGAAAUCAGCAGUGAAGGACUGCGGGGUUAUGUUCCAAUCGUAUAAGAUGAGGCACGUGGAAAAUGUGAAAUGUCUUACCCUUUAAGUUUUCCGUCAGGGCCCUUAGAUAUUUAUAGCCUCGGAACCAUUUCAGACAUGACGAAUGGCCAGCGAAGUUUGGGGCUGGUCCCGCUCUUUCCUCUCCUGAGAGUCACGGCUCAUUCUUUUCUGAGGUGGUAGGAAGAUCCAGGUGCUCUGCCAAACGGCCAUCGCCUUCCUCUCACACAAGAGGGCCAGCUCUCAGCAUAGCUCUUUUGCCUGUGACUUUCAGGAACUCACAACAGGGAAAGAAAUUCACCUGCGUUAUGAACUAACUCAGCCUUUCUCUGCUCAGAAACACCUUCCCGAGUCUGGUACGAAAGACAGGUUUUAGAGUCUAGAAUCUAAUGAACUUACUUUGUGCAGGAUGCCCAAGUGAGGUUUGGGAGAACAGACAGCUCUCUAAAUGAGGGCCACAUUUUUAGAAUGACGGCUUCUUUAGUGGCGGACAGUCCUGUAUUUCAAAAAUCCAAAGUAUCUGAGAUGUGGACCAGUUGAAGUUUGCACAAGUCAAACUAGCUAUUUAAGAACUGCAGUUUCUAGACAUACCUCCAGUGUUGCUGAUCCCCUUAGCAGAAACAGCCACAGAGUUCAUGACCAGUGGAGUCACGGGGACCCAGCCAGUCAUGCGCGUUGCUGGGCGGUGAAUGUGGCCUGAAUGAGUGAAAGGCAUGCGAAUUCUACAGACCGGCACUGCUGUAAGUUUUAGAAAUCCAGUGACGAGCAAGGCAGAAAAGUCCAGGGUCUCAUGGAGUUUACAUCCUACAAGGAGGAGUAAGAACUCAAUUCAGAUACGAUUAAGUGCUAUGCAGAAAAUUAAAACAGGGUGGCCAGGUGAGACCUCCAGAAAGAGGUGACAUUAAAGCUGAUGCCUGAUGGCAACCAACUUAUCUCAGCGUGGCUGGCCGGCCCUUUGAUGUCGCGUGGCAGUGCCCAGUUCACUUCUUGUCUCGUUCCCCAAGGAGGCUCUCCUGGAUCUUUUUACUCUUCUUAGGUUCCAGACCCAUCCCCACUUACCAGGUAAACUGGCCUCACAAUUAUGGAGACACUGUCCACUCCUUGUACUUCCUGACACCAAAAAUCCCAUCCUUGGCUCCACAAGUCCUCUCUUCCAUCUCCGCUGUCCCUUCCUCAGUUUCUCAUUUGUCCUCUCUCCACUGGCCCCUUCCCCUUAGCUUUUAACUAUUUGCAGAAUAACCCACUGUCUGUGUCCCCCCCACCCCUCCUGCACAUUCAUAUGUUCAAAGCCCUGACUCCCAAUUUGAUUGUACUUGGAGGUAGGGCCUUUGUGGAAAUAAUUAAGAGUAAAUGAGGUCAUAAGGGUUGGUCCCUGAUCUGAUAAGAUUGGUUUCCUUAUAAGAAGAGACACCAGAGAGCUCACUCUUUCCUCCGGAGCACGAAGAAGUCAUGUGAACACACGGCUAGAAGGCAGCCAUCAACAAGCCAGGAAGAGAGCCCUCACCAGAAGCCAAAUCAGUCAACACCUUGACCUUGGACUUCCCAGCAUCCAGAACUGUGAAAAAUAAAAUUCUGCAGUUUAAGCCACCCUGUCUGUAUAGUAUUUUAUUGGAACAGCCCGAGCUGACGGAGACACCAACCUUCAACAGGAAACAGAAAACCUCGCUGCUUCACCGCCUCCCUCCUUGCAAGCUCACAGCCACUUCUGCACACAGCUCCCCCCACAAUCUGGCCACUCACACCUCCCUCCCAC